UCCUACGUGACACUAUCGGGUCAACACACCAUCACAGGGGAGAAGAACUUCUUGGGGUUGGUGAAUUCUUCUCAGGUGUUGGUCGAUACCACCAUAGAUGGUCUCCAGGUCGACCCUCUCACUCUGCUUUUAACUACAUCAUCCCAGACCCACACAGGUCUGGUCAGCUGUACUGACCUCGAUGCUGUCGCCGUGAAGAUCAGCUCCAUCAAAUAAACUCAACAUUAAUCAGCUGUUCCAACACCUUGUAACUCGUGAUAGCGAUACAGCAAUCACUGGUCAGAUCCGGAUACGAAAUGACCUAUUUUUCUCUGGCAACCUGGAAGUGAACAUCACUGCAAAUAUCGACCUUCUUAAUCCUCUGAGAACAGACGAGCCCCGGUUACAAGUGCUAAGUGG